GGGUCAGUAGGUUGGUCGUGCCACCGGUACGUACUGGUCUCACUGAUUCCUCCCUCCUGAAGAACCGUAAUGCCAUUAAUUUGGUGUUGCGGGGAAACAGGACUGUUACUUUGAAAAAGUUAGAGUGUUUAAAGCAAGCUAACGCUUGAAUACAUUAGCAUGGAAUAAUGAAAUAGGACGAUCGAUCCUAUUUUGUUGGUUUCUAGGAUUGACGUA
rnacentral:rRNA from 1 species